rnacentral:misc_RNA from 1 species
UUAAGUUCAGCGGGUAGUCCUACCUGAUUUGAGGUCAAGUAUUCAAAAAGUUAGUCCCACAAGUAGAGACAAUUGGAAGCUGAACAACACGGAGAGCAAUCCCCUCGCCAGUGUAGAUAAUUUAUCACACUUGUGGCAGAUCGCAAACGGUUCCGCUAAUGCAUUUCAGAGGAGCUGACCGCAAACAAGCAGCCAGCAGA